rnacentral:rRNA from 1 species
UUAAGCGACCAAGCGUACACGGUGGAUGCCCUGGCAGUCAGAGGCGAUGAAGGACGUGCUAAUCUGCGAUAAGCGCCGGUAAGGUGAUAUGAACCGUUAUAACCGGCGAUUUCCGAAUGGGGAAACCCAGUGUGACUCGUCACACUAUCAUUAACUGAAUCCAUAGGUUAAUGAGGCGAACCGGGGGAACUGAAACAUCUAAGUACCCCGAGGAAAAGAAAUCAACCGAGAUUCCCCCAGUAGCGGCGAGCGAACGGGGAGGAGCCCAGAGCCUGAAUCAGCAUGUGUGUUAGUGGAAGCGUCUGGAAAGGCGCGCGAUACAGGGUGACAGCCCCGUACACAAAAGCGCAUGUGCUGUGAGCUCGAUGAGUAGGGCGGGACACGUGGUAUCCUGUCUGAAUAUGGGGGGACCAUCCUCCAAGGCUAAAUACUCCUGACUGACCGAUAGUGAACCAGUACCGUGAGGGAAAGGCGAAAAGAACCCCGGCGAGGGGAGUGAAACAGAACCUGAAACCGUGUACGUACAAGCAGUGGGAGCACAGGUUUACCUGUGUGACUGCGUACCUUUUGUAUAAUGGGUCAGCGACUUAUAUUCUGUAGCAAGGUUAACCGCAUAGGGGAGCCGAAGGGAAACCGAGUCUUAAUUGGGCGUUAAGUUGCAGGGUAUAGACCCGAAACCCGGUGAUCUAGCCAUGGGCAGGUUGAAGGUUGGGUAACACUAACUGGAGGACCGAACCGACUAAUGUUGAAAAAUUAGCGGAUGACCUGUGGCUGGGGGUGAAAGGCCAAUCAAACCGGGAGAUAGCUGGUUCUCCCCGAAAGCUAUUUAGGUAGCGCCUCGUGAACUCAUCUCCGGGGGUAGAGCACUGUUUCGGCUAGGGGGCCAUCCCGGCUUACCAACCCGAUGCAAACUGCGAAUACCGGAGAAUGUUAUCACGGGAGACACACGGCGGGUGCUAACGUCCGUCGUGAAGAGGGAAACAACCCAGACCGCCAGCUAAGGUCCCAAAGUCAUGGUUAAGUGGGAAACGAUGUGGGAAGGCCCAGACAGCCAGGAUGUUGGCUUAGAAGCAGCCAUCAUUUAAAGAAAGCGUAAUAGCUCACUGGUCGAGUCGGCCUGCGCGGAAGAUGUAACGGGGCUAAACCAUGCACCGAAGCUGCGGCAGCGACGCUUAUGCGUUGUUGGGUAGGGGAGCGUUCUGUAAGCCGUUGAAGGUGUGUCGUGAGGCAUGCUGGAGGUAUCAGAAGUGCGAAUGCUGACAUAAGUAACGAUAAAGCGGGUGAAAAGCCCGCUCGCCGGAAGACCAAGGGUUCCUGUCCAACGUUAAUCGGGGCAGGGUGAGUCGACCCCUAAGGCGAGGCCGAAAGGCGUAGUCGAUGGGAAACGGGUUAAUAUUCCCGUACUUGGUGUUACUGCGAAGGGGGGACGGAGAAGGCUAUGUUGGCCGGGCGACGGUUGUCCCGGUUUAAGCGUGUAGGCUGACUUUCCAGGCAAAUCCGGAGAGUCAAGGCUGAGGCGUGACGACGAGGCACUACGGUGCUGAAGCAACAAAUGCCCUGCUUCCAGGAAAAGCCUCUAAGCAUCAGGUAACAUCAAAUCGUACCCCAAACCGACACAGGUGGUCAGGUAGAGAAUACCAAGGCGCUUGAGAGAACUCGGGUGAAGGAACUAGGCAAAAUGGUGCCGUAACUUCGGGAGAAGGCACGCUGACACGUAGGUGAAGUGGUUUACCCAUGGAGCUGAAGUCAGUCGAAGAUACCAGCUGGCUGCAACUGUUUAUUAAAAACACAGCACUGUGCAAACACGAAAGUGGACGUAUACGGUGUGACGCCUGCCCGGUGCCGGAAGGUUAAUUGAUGGGGUCAGCGCAAGCGAAGCUCCUGAUCGAAGCCCCGGUAAACGGCGGCCGUAACUAUAACGGUCCUAAGGUAGCGAAAUUCCUUGUCGGGUAAGUUCCGACCUGCACGAAUGGCGUAAUGAUGGCCAGGCUGUCUCCACCCGAGACUCAGUGAAAUUGAACUCGCUGUGAAGAUGCAGUGUACCCGCGGCAAGACGGAAAGACCCCGUGAACCUUUACUAUAGCUUGACACUGAACAUUGAGCCUUGAUGUGUAGGAUAGGUGGGAGGCUUUGAAGCGUGGACGCCAGUCUGCGUGGAGCCGACCUUGAAAUACCACCCUUUAAUGUUUGAUGUUCUAACGUGGACCCGUGAUCCGGGUUGCGGACAGUGUCUGGUGGGUAGUUUGACUGGGGCGGUCUCCUCCUAAAGAGUAACGGAGGAGCACGAAGGUUGGCUAAUCCUGGUCGGACAUCAGGAGGUUAGUGCAAUGGCAUAAGCCAGCUUGACUGCGAGCGUGACGGCGCGAGCAGGUGCGAAAGCAGGUCAUAGUGAUCCGGUGGUUCUGAAUGGAAGGGCCAUCGCUCAACGGAUAAAAGGUACUCCGGGGAUAACAGGCUGAUACCGCCCAAGAGUUCAUAUCGACGGCGGUGUUUGGCACCUCGAUGUCGGCUCAUCACAUCCUGGGGCUGAAGUAGGUCCCAAGGGUAUGGCUGUUCGCCAUUUAAAGUGGUACGCGAGCUGGGUUUAGAACGUCGUGAGACAGUUCGGUCCCUAUCUGCCGUGGGCGCUGGAGAAUUGAGGGGGGCUGCUCCUAGUACGAGAGGACCGGAGUGGACGCAUCACUGGUGUUCGGGUUGUCAUGCCAAUGGCACUGCCCGGUAGCUAAAUGCGGAAGAGAUAAGUGCUGAAAGCAUCUAAGCACGAAACUUGCCCCGAGAUGAGUUCUCCCUGAGACUAUAAGUCUCCUGAAGGAACGUUAAAGACGAUGACGUUGAUAGGCCGGGUGUGUAAGCGCAGCGAUGCGUUGAGCUAACCGGUACUAAUGAACCGUGAGGCUUAACCUU